CACCAGGCUGCAGACCACGAGCGGCAGGAUCACCAUGCGCAGCAUCCGCAGCAGCAGCUCCCCGGGGAAGGCCAGGAACUUCUCAUGGAGGCAGGAGCCAUCCUUGCACCAGGACAGGUUGUGUCUGUGUCCCCUGUCUGCACGGUCGAAGCCAUUCAGCAGGUCCGUGGGUUCAUCUGGAGCAGGGCGAUGUGGACACAGGGACUCUGAGCACCCUUCCUUGAGGAAUCCCAUGUCUCAGCACACGAGGUGCUUGUCCGAGGAGCAGACGGUGUCUGUGAUUAUACAUGGGGCUGAUAAAGGGCACUUGGGGCUUUCAAACCCACAAGAGCCCCGUGGGUGCACUACUGUCAUGUUUGCUCACAAGGGCACUUCCAGGAGCUCGAGCUGGUGUUUGGACUCUGUCAGGGGCUCCAUUUCAGCUCAUUCCCUUGACAUCAGCAAAGCACAGCCUAGCAGAAAACGCGCUGUGAAAACAACCAGCCACACAUCUGCUUUCCGAGUAGACUGCACUAAUUAAAGAGACUGACAGGGUGUGAUGCAAUAAUAAUCCCGAUUUAAUAAGACUUUUCUGCUUUCUGAUCUCAUGGAUAGACCUGAAGAUCGCUAUACCAUGGCUGAAGCUCCUGGGAAUUUUCUGUGUGUAAAUAGGUAACAGCACGACUGACAAGCAGUUGUGUCCACCAGCAUCCACUUUGGAGCUUGAUGAAAAGUCUUGAUUAGCUCUUGCACUGAAAUUAGACUCACGAUACCAACACA